rnacentral:rRNA from 1 species
CCAAUAGCGUAUAUUAAAGUUGUUGCAGUUAAAAAGCUCGUAGUUGAACUUCGGGAUCAAGGAAUCGGUCAUGCCUUGGUAUGCACUGGUUUUAUUGGUUCUCACCUUCUAAAGAACCAUAAUGUCAUUCAUUUGAUGUUAUGGGGAAUUAGGACUGUUACCUUGAAAAAAUUAGAGUGUUUAAAGCAAGCUUACGCUUGAAUACAUUAGCAUGGAAUAAUGAAAUAGGACAUCCGAUUCUAUUUUGUUGGUUUCUAGGAUCGAUGUAAUGAUUAAUAGGGAUAGUUGGGGGCAUUAGUAUUCAAUUGUCAGAGGUGAAAUUCUUGGAUUUAUUGAAGACUAACUACUGCGAAAGCAUUUGCCAAGGAUGUUUUCAUUAAUCAAGAACGAAAGUUAGGGGAUCGAAGACGAUCAGAUACCGUCGUAGUCUUAACCAUAAACUAUGCCGACUAGGGAUCGGAUGAUGUUAAUUUAUAAUGACUCAUUCGGCGCCUUACGGGAAA